UCAACCAUCAAGCCUGGGCUUGCAGUUGAACUUUUCCCUUCACCGGGAGGGUUCGAAAGUCAGCGGCGGGGUGUCUGUCGGACCCUAGAUGCAACGAGCUGUUUUAUACCCAGCACGCAUUGAAGCGGCCGGCCACCUCGGCCCUCUCGUUUUUAACUACUUCUAA
rnacentral:misc_RNA from 1 species